AUAAUGUACAUCAUAUAUUUUUUUUAGUUUUAUCAUUCUCUUAUUUUAGAAGUUACAGGGGGGGGGGGACACAUUUUAUCACUUUGGAAGUGUCUCUCGCGCAAACUAUUCAGUUUAGAAAAAAAUGAUAUUAAAAACCUCAAUAUCAUUUUUGAAGACCUAUCGAUAGAUACCCCACACGUAUGGGUUUGAUGAAAAAAAAAAUUUUUUGAGGGAUUUGUGACGUAUUAAAAAAAACUACUUACUAGAUCUUGUUCAAACCAAUUUUUGGUGGAAGUUUUCAUGGUAAUGUACAUCAUAUAUUUUUUUUUAGUUUUAUCAUUCUCUUAUUUUAGAAGUUACAGGGGGGGGGGACACAUUUUACCACUUUGGAAGUGUCUCUCGCGCAAACUAUUCAGUUUAGAAAAAAAUGAUAUUAGAAACCUCAAUAUCAUUUUUAAAGACCUAUCCAUAGAUACCCCACACGUAUGGGUUUGAUGAAAAAAAUUUUUUUGAGUUUCAAUUCUAAGUAUGGGGAACCCCCAAAAUUUAUUGUUUUUUUUUCUCUAUUUUUGUGUGAAAAUCUUAAUGCGGUUCACAGAAUACAUCUACUUACCAAGUUUCAAAAGUAUAGUUC